rnacentral:tRNA from 1 species
UCCCUGGUGGCUCAGAUGGUAAAGAAUCUGCCUGCAAUGCAGGAGACUCGGGUUCAAUUCCUGGGUUGGGAA